rnacentral:rRNA from 1 species
CCUACGGGGGGCUGCAGUGGGGAAUAUUGGACAAUGGGGGCAACCCUGAUCCAGCCAUGCCGCGUGUGUGAAGAAGGCCCUCGGGUUGUAAAGCACUUUCAGUGAGGAAGAACGCCUGGUGGUUAAUACCCAUCAGGAAAGACAUCACUCACAGAAGAAGCACCGGCUAACUCCGUGCCAGCAGCCGCGGUAAUACGGAGGGUGCGAGCGUUAAUCGGAAUUACUGGGCGUAAAGCGCGCGUAGGUGGCUUGAUAAGCCGGUUGUGAAAGCCCCGGGCUCAACCUGGGAACGGCAUCCGGAACUGUCAAGCUAGGGUGCAGGAGAGGAAGGUAGAAUUCCCGGUGUAGCGGUGAAAUGCGUAGAGAUCGGGAGGAAUACCAGUGGCGAAGGCGGCCUUCUGGACUGACACUGACACUGAGGUGCGAAAGCGUGGGUAGCAAACAGGAUUAGAUACCCGGGUAGUC